rnacentral:lncRNA from 1 species
UACCAUGUGUGGACACAGCAAGAAGGCAGCAUCUAUAAGCUAGGAAGGAGGCCCUCACCAGACUUGGAAUCUGCUGGCUUCCUGAUCUUGGCCUUUCUAGCCUCCAGAACUGAACAUGGAUGAAGCUGGAGGCCAUUAUCCUUAGCAAACUAACACAAGAACAGAAAACCAAAUACCGCAUGUUCUUCCUUAUAAGUGGGAGCUACAUGAUGAGAUGAGAACAUUGCCCAAAGGAACCAAGUGAAAUUACCAAAUUAGAAGUGAUAAGAGGUUGACUCUCUCCAGAAAUUUAUUGUAAUUAGAAAGAGGUAAUGGUGUCUAAAUAAGAUGAAAGAAGAUAUUUUAAAGAUGAUAAUAACAAAAACUACUAGAAUGAGGUGAAGCCAGAAAGGAAGAGUCAUAAUCAAAGAAGAGAGUGAUCAAGAAUCCAAAAUAGACAGAGAGAGCAGGCUCUUAGAGAAAUGGGAGAACUACCGCACUGACUCUGCACGUAGGAGACAGGCAGGAGAGGAGCGCCCCAGCCAGAGCUCAACAUGCGCAAACAGGAAGUGUGUCCGAGGUUUUCUGGAGCUCACAGGAGCCGGGGACCCACAGCCAGACGUUUAUCUGAAAGAAAAGCAGACAAGACAAACUAAAUCAGCAACCAUCCCUUUGGAUGCCAGCUGACCUCGGAUGGAGAUUUAGUGCUAGAUGUAAAAGGCUUUGUUUACAGACAAUUAAAAACCACAUAAAUUUAAAUUGUCAAAGAAGAAAUGGUUUCCAAAGCUUCUAACAGCCUGGUAGCCCCUCCUCAGCCCUGUGCAGGAAAGGCCCAGAGGCAAAUACAAAGCCACCAACCCAAAUGCCUGUGGAGUUUGCCAGAAAGCCAGAUCCUGCUGCUUCUGCUGCUUGUUACUGAUGUUGAAAAAUAAAAUCUUAUACAGCUUCAAAUGUAGGUUCUUUGAGUGCUAAUCAAACAGCAAGAAGGCAACAGAUGACCACGGAGGAGGUGGCUGCACGAAAGUACGCCACAAAGUAUGGAAUUACUGCAAGUAGGCCUUUCGGCAAUCAAUGUGUCUGAACCUUUUGUGUGCUCUCCAUUUUUUCCCACCGAAGGAACUAGAUGCAAAGAUUAAAAAGUGACACAAACACAAACGAUCGUCAGACUUAGAGCCUGAAAUAUUCUGAAUGUUCUUAUCUGUGUAUUUUACUUCUUCCCG